rnacentral:rRNA from 1 species
UCGCCGAUUAAAGUGGCACGCGAGCUGGGUUUAGAACGUCGUGAGACAGUUCGGUCCCUAUCCGCCGUGGGCGCAGGAGAUUUGAGGGGGUCUGUCCCUAGUACGAGAGGACCGGGAUGGACGAACCACUGGUGUACCGGUUGUAGCGCCAGCUGCAUCGCCGGGUAGCCAUGUUCGGAAGGGAUAACCGCUGAAAGCAUCUAAGUGGGAAGCCCGCCCCGAGAUGAGAUCUCCCCGAGACUUCGGUCUCCUGAAGGGCCGUCCGAGACGAGGACGUUGAUAGGCUGGAGGUGGAAGCGCAGCAAUGCGUGGAGCUGACCAGUACUAAUCGCCCGUGAGGCUUGACCAC